UUGAAUUUUAGUGAAGAGUUUGGUUGUAGCUGGCCCAUUCAUUUGGGCAUGUGCACACCUUCCUCUUUCAUCCCACACACACCUGUGAACCUGUGAGACAGAGAUGGGGAAUUUACUUGCUGCUUUUUGGAAUACAAAGGCAAUAGGUUAUUGGACCCCCCCUCUGUCUACUCAAUUAAUAUAAACUCAAUUUAUUUUAAAACGAAUGUAAUGGAUGUAACACAUCUCAUAC
rnacentral:misc_RNA from 1 species